GUUGGGUUAAGUCCCGCAACGAGCGCAACCCUUAUCCUUUGUUGCCAGCGGUUAGGCCGGGAACUCAAAGGAGACUGCCAGUGAUAAACUGGAGGAAGGUGGGGAUGACGUCAAGUCAUCAUGGCCCUUACGAGUAGGGCUACACACGUGCUACAAUGGCGCAUACAAAGAGAAGCGACCUCGCGAGAGCAAGCGGACCUCAUAAAGUGCGUCGUAGUCCGGAUUGGAGUCUGCAACUCGACUCCAUGAAGUCGGAAUCGCUAGUAAUCGUAGAUCAGAAUGCUACGGUGAAUACGUUCCCGGGCCUUGUACACACCGCCCGUCACACCAUGGGAGUGGGUUGCAAAAGAAGUAGGUAGCUAACCUUCGGGAGGCGCUACCACUU
rnacentral:rRNA from 1 species